GGGAGCCUGAUGCAGCACGCCGCGUGAGUGAUGACGGYCUUCGGRUUGUAAAGCUCUGUCUUYMGGGACGAUAAUGACGGUACCUAAGGAGGAAGCCACGGCUAACUACGUGCCAGCAGCCGCGGUAAUACGUAGGUGGCAAGCGUUGUCCGGAUUUACUGGGCGUAAAGGGAGCGUAGGUGGAUAUUUAAGUGGGAUGUGAAAUACCCGGGCUUAACCUGGGUGCUGCAUUCCAAACUGGAUAUCUAGAGUGCAGGARAGGAAAGGARAAUUCCUAGUGUAGCGGUGAAAUGCGUARAGAUUAGGAARAAUACCAGUGGCGAAGGCGCCUUUCUGGACUGUAACUGACACUGAGGCUCGAAAGCGUGGGGAGCAAACAGGAUUARAUACCCUGGUAGA
rnacentral:rRNA from 1 species